AUUUUUAGUGGUGAAGUUGUCCCUCAAAAAGCUCAUUGCACUUCUCUGUGUCUCAAGGGUACAUGCAAAGUGGAGUAAAGGGUUUGGAUCUCUAAUGUUCUACUAUGCAUGAAGAAAAAGCUCAAAGGAGUGUGAAGCAGCUGAGACAAUGGAUUUCUUUAUGAGAAGUUUUAUCUGAAGAGUUUUAAGUUCACCAUCUUUCCUCAAUGUCCAGUUCGAGUCUGCUAUGAGAUAUUUCUUGUAUAAGAACAUUAAGUAAAGUAUUUGCCUUCUUAAAAGGAAUCAAGAUAAAGGAAUGAAUUUUUCCCCCUCAUUUCAUCUCUUUUCUCAUAUCUUUGGACUUAUUUCCAUGCCUGGAGAAGGAUGGGGUUGAACCUCCAUAGGGAUUCUGUUAGGAAAGUGGCUGCCAGAGUUGGUUGAGGGUUCAGAGAAAACUCAGAGGACAGGCAGUGUAAGCUGGACUACUCCCAGGAAACAGCUGGUGGCAGAGCAGCAUUCUCAGAGACCUCAAGGGCUCCCAAACUUCUCAUGCCCCAAAGUGGGGACAGGAAAUAGGAUGUGAAAUGUAUAUUCCUUUUGCUGCUUUGGGUCAAAGCAGCAGCAGCGGCCAGGCCCAACCCAGCCCCGCCCUCCAGGGGACUGUAGCCUGUAUUCCCAGCAGGAAUCCAAGCCAAGGAACCUAAAGUCUCUCCGCUCCGGGAGCCGUGGUGCCUCGUUUAUUCCCGAAGGAUAGUGUUUUUAUGCGUUCUGAAAAGAUCAACAUUCACAGUUUUUCUUACCUGGGGUAGGGGAUUGGGUUUGGGGAGGGGGAUG